AUACGUAGGUGGCAAGCGUUGUCCGGAAUUAUUGGGCGUAAAGCGCAUGUAGGCGGUUUGGUAAGUCGGUCGUGAAAAUGCGGUGCUUAACGCCGUAUGGCGAUUGAAACUGCUGAACUUGAGUGCAGGAGAGGAAAGGGGAACUCCCAGUGUAGCGGUGAAAUGCGUAGAUAUUGGGAAGAACACCGGUGGCGAAGGCGCCUUUCUGGACUGUGUCUGACGCUCAGAUGCGAAAGCCAGGGUAGCGAACGGGAUUAGAUACCCCGGUAGUCCUGGCCGUAAACGAUGGGUACUAGGUGUGGGAGGUAUCGACUCCUUCCGUGCCGGAGUUAACGCAAUAAGUACCCCGCCUGGGGAGUACGGCCGCAAGGCUUAAACUCAAAUGAAUUGACGGGA
rnacentral:rRNA from 1 species